GUAAUUGUCCGCUCACUUCAACCACACCGAUCACCACAAGCAGUUACACAACACCCCAACCAUGUGGCUGGUCCCGCUGGUAUAACACUGACACACCAAACAUUGGUACUGGAGACUUUGAAACUAUUGCAAGAUUAAAGAAUGUUUAUGGUGUGUGUAAGAAUAUGAUAGAUAUUGAAUGUAGAGUAGCAGAUUCUAAUACACCAUCAUCAGCUAUUACUCAAACUAAUGUUAAAUGUGAUAUGCACAAUGGUCUCAGUUGUUACAACAGUGAGCAGAAGCAGAAAAAAUGUUACGAUUAUGAAGUUCGUGUUCUUUGUUGGAAUGAAUAUUGUGGAGUUACUACAACUCCUGGAACACAGACAACAAGCCCUGGAACACACACAACAGUACAAACAACAACACCUGUUUGUCCACCUUAUCAGAUUUUUGUAAAGUGUGCUUAUAAAUGUAGAGAACUGUGUACCAAUAUGUUACAGUCGAUCAAAAUCUGUGAUCUAAAUGAUUGCGUCCCAGGUUGUAAGAACAUAUCAGAUGUUCACAAACCUGCGUGUCCUGAUGGCUAUAAAUUGAGUGAUCGAAAUACUUGUGUUAAAACAGAGAUGUGUCCAUGUCUUAAACAAGAUGGCAGCUUAGCUCAGCCAUUUGAACAUUGGACAAACCCCAGUAAGGAAUGUUCAACAUGCCAUUGUUUUAAUAACUCUGUACAAUGUUAUACGGACAGUCCAUGUAAAACAACCAAUACCAUCACUGCUUCCACCAUCUCACAGCCAUCCUGUCAUUGGACAGGUUGGAUGAAUAUUGAUAAACC